AAUAUUUUUAUUAACGAAAAUAGAAACAUCUUACAAAAUCGCCCCCAAUAUAAACAUUAGACACCCAAAAUAGAAACUAUCGAACACCUAUAAAUUAAAACAAAACAAAAAGAAGAGACACAUUAGAACAAAAAUCAAACACAACCGCCAAAACAUGGAAGAAACUCAUGUCUUAACUCCACCCCUUCUUCCCAUGAAGUCAACAAGCAAAUAUGCUCCCGAUGAACAAGAACAACAUCGAUCAUCCCCAUCACCUCAAACACAACCAUGAUAAAGCCACCAAAGAGCUUAUUUUUAUUAUUGUUACCCAUGGAAAACGCUAACAGCUUCAUGACGAUUAAAGUAGGAAUCACAAUUAACAUUGGAUAUGAAACACCAUGAGAGCCAAGAAAUGAUCCGCAAAUGGCUCCAGAGAGAUAACAAAAGACACAAUCAGAACUGAUGGCUCCGUAUACCAUGCCCCAAUAAGCAACCCGAUAAUAAAACCUGCAAAUCAUAUCACAAGCCACAUUACUUAUUAGCUCCAUGGCAAUUUCGAACACCGUCCAUUUCCCCUCCUUUAAAGCACUCCUUUUCUUUCUUAGUUUUCAUACUUCUACUCAAUUAUAGUCGCAACUCGUUUGAUGUCUCAUUGUAUGAAUUAAUUGGGUUAUAAUUAAAAAUUAUGGAUGCAUUGAAAUGUAACAAUUCAUGCAGUUUUAUGUUUUAGUAGAAUUAUGUUAUAAUAUUUGAAGCAGAUUGAAUAUCCAUCAAUCGGCUAAUAAUCUCAGUCAUCGUUCUAGACUUAUCCAUCCCCACUGAAACUGAUUUAGAUUUUGAUUGAUUUGUUGAUUCCGAGCCAUCCUCAUCAAUUUCGUCUUCCUUGUUACUGCAUUUGUAUAUUGACGACACCACUGGAUCGAUCUCAACUAUUCUCACCUCAAAACAUUUAUCACCAACCUGUAAAUCAAUAACUUUAUCAAUCUUUUGCAGGUGAUCUGUUAUGAUCUCUAUACUUCCCCUAAAAAGAGAGACUCUGUUUUCAGUAUCCUUGUCAACUCUCAAAAACUUACCCCAGUGGCAUGCUAUAUUAUGGAAGGUUCCUUUACUCCAUACAUGAGGUGGAAUUCCAUAGCACAUGAGCCAUGUUCUUCGGCAAUUGGACAUACCAUCAUCAUUCCAUGGCUCAACUUUAAAAAACCAUUUCAAUAAAACUCCCCAUUUUGAUUCCUUAAGGUCCUAAAUUAAGUUUUUGUUAUUGAAUGAUAAGAUAACAGAGCAACCCGAUAAUUUGAAAACAUCCACCCCUGCAAUUCCUUCAGCCAGCAGCUGAUCUCUAAGCGUUUUCAUGAUUGAGAGAUCCUCAAUCCAUCCUACGGCGCAAUGCUCCAGCCAGCUUAGUUUAUUAAUAUCUAUCACUCCUUGUUGCACAACAGCCCUCUUUGAUUCAAACUCCUUUCUAACACCCUCUAAAUCCACCUUAGCAUCACAACGUUUGGCAUCAUUCCCAUCUACUUUAUUUGAUUCAUCUUCCUCUUACUGCUGAAUCACCUUCACGUUAGCUCUUGCUUGAAAAUCCCUAUUCCAGAAACCAUUACGACCCUGAAUCAAAUUUUCAUCUACACCAGACUUUCUCCAGAAAAAGCUCCUGAUUCCAAAUCGUGCCGUGCUCACUUCAAUUCGAAAUCCAUAGAGUCUGAAUCUGUUUAGUCUCUUAAUCGCCCUAUUUGCGUUAGUAAUACUUCCAUAUCUUAUAAAACCAAAUCUUUUCCCACUCUUUCCUCUUUUGAGAGGAAUGAAAGCAUAAAAAACUCUAAUGUAAAACUAUCUUGAAAUACACUUCAACACACUCGAAUCCCUCCUCCUACUUAUAAUAACGUGUCUAUCAACCAAAUUAAGAAUCAAUUAGCACCAACUUUAUUUAUCUUGAAAUUUAACUAUUGAACAUACUAAUUUGUUUUCUCGUGCCAUACCAUAGAUAAGUUAGUUUGGUUUAUUAACAUUAUAAGCAAUUUUUAAAUUAUUUUCAUAAUCAUUUAAAAUAAUCAAAAAUAAAUUAUCCAAUAUGGUAAUAAUAAUAGGGAAGUAGAAUUUUAUCAUAUAAUUAUAUUUUCUUUUGUAAAUUUCUGUAAUUAUAUUUGAUUAAUUGGUUAAGAAAUAUAAUUACUCAAUAAUAAUAUAUUGUAUUAAUUGCAAUUUUAAGUCAUUUUUAUAUCGUGAUUAUCAUAUGGUGUUUAAUGCAUGUGUUGAUUAGUGAGGAUAUUUUUUAAAAAGUAAUUAUAAUGUUAAUAAACGAUUCCAUAUAUUAUCAAUAAAGCAAAUUUAAUUAUCAUUACCGAUUGAUGUGUCAUUUUAUAAUUUAAUACAUCAUCAAUAAAACUCUUUGCAACUCAAAUAAUUUACCCAAAAUUUAAUGUUUUUAUAUAUUUUUUAAAAGUAUAUAAAUUAAGUUUAAUUGAAUUUCUUUUUUGAAGAAUCUUAUUAUAGGUUUUGAUCAUAUUUGCUCUUUUUGACACAGUACCUAAAACUAUCCAUAACCCCUCCCCAACUCAUAAAUAAGAGGAAAAUGCAUUUUAGCACACUCAAACCCACGUUCUCUUGCAUUGCCCACACUACCCAUGCCAAUCAAGCUAAGACUCAAUCAACAUGUUUAACUGAAUUUUACUUACCCAUGUACUGUCGUGUAAAAAAUAUUUAAUUAACUAAAAAAAAUUAACACUCAAAAUAUUUGUGGGAAUUUUAUUCAUGAACUUUUAUUUUGUGCAGUUGUACACAUGAAUUUUUAAUUUGGUCCAUUUUUUUACAAAUUACUAACAUAAUUAUCGUUACAACAUCAUUUUAUGUUUAUAGGUUGCAUAAAUAAAUAAUGAUAUUUAUCCAAUAUAGAAAUAAAUUGAUGCAUUUAUUUCUUUAAAUUUAUAUAAUUGAAUUAAAAAUAAAGUUUUAUGUAUAAAUUUGAACCACAACCAAAGUUUCAUUUGCAUAGUUACACCAAAUAAAAGUUCAUGUAUCAUCCAAUUGAGCUUUAGCUUAGUUGGAAUUGUGGGUUAUAAAUAGAAGUAUAAAUUGUAUAAAAAAAUUUCAUGUAUGAAAUUACAUGUUAAAAAUGUUUUUAUAUAAUUUUAAGAUUUAUCCCUAAAAAUACUUCAAUAAAAAAAUCUCCCACUUUCGUUCUUUCCUUCUUUUAUUCACUCGCAAAUUAACUAAGAUUUUGUUUGAAAAAUACUAAAGCUUGAAAUCUGUCAGACCCCAAAAUAGGGCCUAAGAGUUUUAGGGGUAUUUUAGGAAUUUUAGCCUUCGAGUGUUUGGAAUUUUGUGACAUGGCAUACCGGUAAUGUUUUCAAUUAUGAAUUUUAGAAAAUUAAAUCAAUUUCUAAAAUUGAGUUUUAAAUACCUUUAAUUUUAGAAAAUGGACUGAUUUGUAAAAGAGUCAAAAUUGUAAGUUUUUGUGAAACAAUUAAGCCAAAUUUUAAAAACCAAUCUAUUUCUUCCUUCCCACCUACAAUUUUUCACAUCAACUUUUCCCUAACUAGUGUUGCCAUCUCUUGAUUCUCUCUUACUAUUUCAAUCAAUUUUGAAUUCCAAUUUUUAAUCCUCUUUGAUUUCUAUCACUCUUGAACCUUAAACCUCUAUAAAAGGCCAAGAAAAACACCCAAAAAUACUAUAGUUCCUCCAUUGUCAAGCUUUUGGAUUUUUCGGGUUUCGAUCAAACGCUCGGUUUUCCGUCAACUAAGGUAACAAUUCAUCUUCCUAUUAGUUUUAAAUGUUAUUUAGUCUUUAAAACCAAGUUUUUAGCCAUUAAAUCACAGGUUUUAAAUAAAAGCCAAAAAUCGGGUCUUUAAUGGUGAAUAUUGGGUUUGUGGAUAAAAAUGUAGUUUCGAAGUGUUUUUCAACUUUUUUUUAACAUGAUCAGAAGGUUUCUAAACUUACUUUAAAGUUUUGCUAAAGAUUUCUUGAGUUUUAAUGAAUUUUCAAAAAAUAGCUAUAAAACAUGUUGAAAAAGUCAAUAUCUUGAAUUGAGUAGUUUUGUGUAGUUUAAAGGUUGAGAAUUAGUCGUAGGUGAAUUAUAAGAUGAACAGGAUUAGUUUUAGGCGAAAAAAUUAAGUAUAGAUCAAGAUAUUCAAAUUUAAAGGUUGUUAUUUUAUAAGUUUCAGUAACAUGAGAACUUAGUUUAGGCUUAUAUUUUGUAUGCUUGUAAUGAGUAUUUGGUUGAUUUUUGGAUGUAUUGUUGUGUGAAUUUAUUGUGUUGAAGUUCUGAAUUCAAUAAAACCUUCUACGAAUAGAGAUAAAGGCAAGGAAAAGCUACUUUGAGCUUUCGGCUUUUCAGCGAAAACAUAAUCGAUGAGUGUUUGGAAUAAUUACUUGUGGACAUGAUUCAAUGCUCUCUUGUGAUUUAUGUACUUAUGUGAAUAUGAAUAUGUGAACCGGGAUGAAAUGCUAUAGCAUUUGAUAUGUGGAUAUGAUAAUUAUUGUGUAAAGUGCAAUUAUAUACAUGAAAUAAAUGUGUAAUUUAUAUAUUAUAUGACUAUGCUAGUGUUUUGGAAAAGAUGUUAAUAUGCAAUGAUAGUACACAGAUAACCGAUAAGAGAUAUGUAUUGUUUUUCAGAUAUUUUGGCCUUGUGAUAUUGGAACCAUUGGAUAUAAUUGGCAUGCCAUAAGAUUAUGAGUACUCACCUACAUGUACAAUGAUUUUGGGCAUUGAAGCCUGGGGACAUGUUGGAGGGAUAAGGGAAUGUGAGCUAAGCUCCAUUCAACGGGACAUGAGAAGGGUAAUAAGGAGAGUGUUGGUAUUAUGCUUCACUUUUGGGACAUGUUUGACUCUAUGAGUCUAUGUUGGUGUGUUGGAGAUCCGUGUAUCCGAUGAGUGAUGGUAGAGCUCACUUUUAUGUUUUAUAGCUUAAGCGUCAAAUUAUCUAUAAAUAUGAUUACGUGUAUUGUGAUAUAUGUAUAAUGUGAUGUAUGCCCAAAUGAGUAUGUGGUUGCUAUGCAAAUUAUGUUAAAUUGUAUAUAUGUGUAAUGUGUGUAUUGUGAUAUGUGUUUAUAUGACAUGUGACCAUUAUGCAAUUUAUCUAUAAACAUGUUUUUGAGUAUUGUGAUAUAUACUUGAAUGUUAGGUGAUUAUAUGUAUAACAAAUAUUUAUGCUUAAAAGUGAAUAUGUUUACCAUCUAAAAAAACUAGAAAAUAAUACACGAAUAAGUAUAUUAUAAUACUAAAGUUGGAACUGUUGAGGUUAUGUUAUAUGGUUGUUUUGUUGAUACUUGAUGAAUUGUUUGCAUGAUAGUUAUUCUAGGCAUUCAUUGAGCUUGUUAAGUUCACUCACUCCCUUCUUAAACUUUGCAAAUUAGUUGUGAGCCAGUAUGAACGGUGUAGCUUUCUGAGGGGUGAUCCAAGCAAGUCCAUUUUCGUUAUUCGUAGGUGUUUAUUAUUUGGUUGUGUUUUUCGGAAUAAGACAAUGUGGUAGUCUUUGUGCUAAUAUUGGACAUAAUAUUUUGAGUUGUCUCCACGAUUUAAUUGCUCUUAAAAUUUUGGGAUUUUUUUCGUAAUAUGUUAGCUAUUGCUCAAAUUUGCUUUUGAUGUUUGAAACUAUUAUUAUGGCCGUUUUGGUGUUUAUUUGAUGGCGAUAUGAUAGCAUGUUGAAUCAGUACAAGUUGGAAUGACUUAUAUGUUUAAAAAUGUUGUAUUUUUUAUCAAAACAAAAGUAUCGAUAUUUGUAUGUUAAAAACGAUACCUUUAAAAAUUUCAAAGUGCAAGAAGUUAGUCUUGUUAAUUGGUAUCGAUACCUUGGCCCGAGUAUCGAUACUCGAAGGUAAAAUUAUCGAUAUUUGUUCAGUGGUACCGAUAUUUUCCGAUAGUUGGGUUUUUGAUUGAGAAAUAAUAAGCUAGUUUGGUAUCAAUUUUCCAUGAGUUAUCGAUACCUCUUGAGCAAAAUAUUGAUACCAUGUCUUUAGUAUAGAUACCUACGUUGAUGUUUUGAGAUUUUGCUAAAACAGACCAUAUGCAUGCUUAAUUACUAUUUUUAAGGCUAAUUGAUGUAUGUUAGCAUGUAACGAUGAUAACUAAAAAGUAAGAAUGGUUUAACACCUAUAUAAAUACUAAAAUAAGAAGACAAUUCUUUUACAACAAGACUUUAAAAUAUUUUGUAUGACACGAGACGGUAAUGUGGCAUUCUGAUAUUCGAGCUUGGCAACCAAGCCAAGUAUGGGGAGUUAGAAAAUCCAUGUCCGAAAUAUAAUGGUCUUGUUUGAUAAUUGAUUGAUAGCUGACUGCUGAUUGCGGUGAUUAAUUUGAUCAACUGAUUCUAUUAACUGAUUUGACCAACUGUGUAACACCCUAAAUUUUGAACAUUUGUUUGAUAAAUUAUGUCAAUAAUUAAGUCUCUGUAUUUGUGGUUAAGUGUUCUAUUUAUACGUUUGAGAUCGUGAGCUCGAGUCUUCUUUUUUGAAUUUUACUAUUUAUUUUGGUUUAGCCAUUAUCCUUAAAAUCUCAACUUAAAUUUAUUUUUGUGUUAAUCUAUAUCAAGAAUGAGCCUACUGGUUCAAUGGUUAGGCCUCUGUACACCUUCUAGUUCUGUGUUGGAGUCUCUGCGUAUACAAUAAGGAAAUAUUUUUGUUACUACUCCGUUAAGUAUGGUUAGUUUCUUUUUAAAAUUAAUUGAAUUCUUUUCUCCUUCUUGUUACGUUUUUUCCUUCUUCUCUUCUUCUUAUUUUUUUUCUUUUCUUCCUUCUUUUCCUUUCCUCGUGUUCUUCUUCCUGUUCUUGCCUUUUUUUUAUUUCUUGUUGUCAUUUUAUUACUGUUACGACAGGGAAACUUCGUAUUUCAUUGUCUUCGAUUGUCGAGAUAAUUGCGUAAGUUUGAUAUGAAUUUCUGUUAGUAUUUGGUUGUUCAUUUUGUCGAAGUGGGUUUCGCUUAGUUGCUUGAAUUCUUUGAUUAAGUGUUCGUUUGGUCUUUUCGUAGGCAAAGAUAAUGAGAAUAACGCUCCCCAAACAUUUUAGUUCUGUGAAUUAUUGUUUGAUGCGAAGGUAAGGAGUGGAAUCCUUGAGUUCAGGGUUCGUCGAAACUUUUCGACGCAAUUCAGUUUUGUACUCUAAUUCUAGCGUUUCAUUGUGAUUAAUUGUGUAAUUGACCUUUGAAUUGUCUUUUUUUAGGCUUUAAAUUCACCUCGGUCGCUUCUAUGUCGAAACCGUGUCAAGUGUGUAACAAAAACUCAAAAUUUUGCGAACGAAAAAUGCCAAAAAAUAUGGUUGCUAACGCCACACGGUCGUGUAACUCACUGUUUUGGAAUUAAAGGCAUACGGGCUAGGGACACUGUCUUGUGUUCAGGUUGUGUAACUCGCUGUUUUGAGCCACACAAGCCGACCACCUAGGCCGUAUGAAUCCGCAUGGGCGUGUAGGAAAAAAAAUCAAGAUUUUUCCCUAGAGCCGUAAAUGAUGUUCAAAUCGAACGUAGGCUUACCGUAGGGUCCAUAUGAUUGGAAUUGGACAAUGUAACCGUUAUCUAAUGAUCUAUAUAUUAUUUUCAUGUAAAUACUUUAUAUGAAAUCUGAUAAGUAAGUGCGAUAGCAUAACAUGAGUAUGACCUGAAUUUGUAUACUAUAUAUGUAUAUCUGAUAUCUGUUAAAUAGACAUUAGGUUGGGAUUGUGAAAAGAAAAAAGUGUGUGCAGUUUAAUCUAUCAAAUGUGGUGGCUUAACCACAAACAUAUAUCUGACUUUAGCUAUUUAUCGCAUUUGAUCUGACAACUAUACUGCAAUUAUUUUGGAACGUGACAUACGGUCACUAUGCAGUGUGCAGGGAUGGAGUACUUGAUACCCUAUAUGGUGUUAGGGUUGGACAGAGAUAGUGCGUAACGAUUAGGGUUACGAAUCUGCAUCUAAAUCUGAAAUGUUUUGCAACUGUAUCUAAUGUUUUCUGUUUCUGUUUCUAUAUUUGAUUCUGAGAAUUGACUGGUUAACAAAAACCAAAAUCACAUUUAUUAUGUUACGGAUUAAUUAUAAAUGUAAGUUACACACUGAUUUGUAAACUCAUUUAGUCUAUUCAUUGACUUACAGGUAACCCACAGACUUAGGCGGGUCGGCGUGGCAAGAGCUCAAUUAUUUUCCUUCUAAUUAUCUAUUAUUUUAUCCAAACUUAUACUAUCGUGUGUUUUAUUUUGGAUGACUGGUUAUAAGCUUUGAUUUUUAUGUUAGUUUUAACUAUUUAAUUAAUCUUCGACUAUUAAACUUUAAAUAGUUGAAGGUUUGAGUUUUUCUAAAGUUAUUUUAUGUAGCUCUCUAAAAUUGGUCUUAACAUCUAGGUCAAGUAUAAGAUUUACAAAUUGAUCCUAUUAACUGUUUAUUUAAAAGUGUUUGGUAAAACUUAGCUGAUAGUUGAAGGCUAAUAUUUUUAAAAUGACAAAUAAGGGCAUUACACAUUUUAAGGUUAAGUAUUUAUUUGUUUAUAAUAUUUUAGUCUAUAUUGAGUGAAAUUAUUGAAAUAAAAUGCUAUUACCAAGGAAUUAAAACAUCCAUUAUGGAAAUUAAUUAGUGAAUAUUUUUGAAAAUUUAAAUAAACAGAUUUCUUAAGUUCCUUAUUUGUAAAUAUUAACCUUGUGAAAAUUGAUAAAUAUUAAUAGUGUAUCAAUAUAAUUGUAAACCAUAUUCUUAGUGAUAAUUAUGUCAUGUUUUUAGUAUGUAAAUUAGUAAUAAUUAUGUCACAUUCUGAAUAAAUUUGUCAAGUAGCACAUUUCAAUUUAUAUAAAGUUGCAUAAGAAAUCAAUUUACACAAGUAAAUUAAAAAUAAAUUAAGAAUAUAUAAAUAUUCAAGGAUAAAUGAGCUCGAUUGAAAAUUUCUCGCGACAAUGUUAAUUCACAAUGGAGUUUUUUUGUAGAUUCACGGUGGAGUUUUUUUUUAUUUGAGAUUUACUUUGGACUUUGGAGGUGAAAUUGGAAAUGAGAGAAUGGAGGUUACUGAUAUCUUGACACCCCUAUUAGGUUUGAGAGUAUGUGGCAAAGGGAGUAAUUUUUUAGCAAGCAUUGUCAAAUACAUAAUUCCACAUAUCUCAUUCUCAAUUAGCUAAACAAGUUUUUACAAACCUCCAUUCACCAAAUAUUACAAUGAGAAAGCUUGACUACUCAAUCCUUUAUUUGUGUCCAAAUCAGCUAAAAAAGCUCAAAACUCUAUUUAUUAAAUACCCCCAAAACUUAUUCAAUAAAAUAAGUGAAAAAUGUAAUAUUAAAAUUUUAAUUAUAAAAACUAAUUAAAUUUUAGCUCGAUUGACAUCAACAUUUUUGCUAAUGCAUGAGAAUAUGAGUUCGAGUCCGUUGAAACGCAUUAUCUUUCUAUUUAAAGGUUAAGGAGGGGUUAUGGAUAGUACUAGGCAUUAUAUUAAAAAAAUAGAUAUGAUAAUCUCCUAUAAUGAUAUUAAUGUUAAAAAAAAUAUAAUUAUAAAAAAAUUAAUAAUUGAGUUAUAAGUAAAACGAUAAAAAUGCUUAGGAAUAAAAAUUUUUAAGGUUAGGUUCAAUCAUUUGAUAUUGCAUCUUUAAUUGUUUUAUUUAAAUAUUUCAUAUAAAAAUAGUAAAAAAAUGAAAAUAUCAUUAUAUUAAUAAUUAAUCAUUUAUUUUUAAAAAAAAGUUUUUAAGUAAUUUUAUUAAUCGAAUUGGUGUCAAAUUGACUCACGAUACCAACUCAAACAAAUAUAUUAAAUAAGUGUAGAUACAUGAUUUUUUUUUAAUUCUUACCCUUGUAAUAAUUUCUUUUUUUUUUCUUUAAAUAUUAGUUGUUAUAAAAAAUUAAAUCUUAUCAACAAAAUAAGAUUUCAACACUAUCAAAAAACCAUGCAUUUAUAAAAAAAAAUGUAACUACCGACCUCUUUUUUCUCACUUAUAAAUAAAUUAUUCAAUUUUUUUACGAUGAUAUCUCAACUAAAUCUAUUCAUCAAUUAGGUUAUUCGUCUAAGUUUGAAAGUUCAUUUGAAAUUUGAGAGGGUUUAGAUAAAAAUAUUAGGCUCGAAAAAUAGAUUUGGGCAAAAAAAUUCAACCCAUUUAAAAUAUAAGUUGAGCUUGGACUCCAGUAUUCAAGGCUAAUCAUUUUCUAAGGUUGUAUAAUAUUAUAUCAUGUUAUUUUUAUAUAUCAAGUAAUUUUUAACACAUAAGAAUUAAAUUUAUAGUAAUAAAUUAAUACUAUAAUGUAAACAUACUAAAAAAAUGUUAAAUUUCAUAUAUAUAAAAUUUUAAUAAAUGAAAAAUAUUUAAAAUAAAUUAAUAUUUAAUAUUUAAUUAAAAAACAAUAUAAAUACUUUUGAAAAAAUUUUAUAAACAAUAUGGUCGGGCUUAAAAUGGAUUAGGUUAACCAUUUACAAAUAUGAGCGCUUUUGGUAAAAUUUUUUAGUUUUAUAUUUUAGGCAAGGCCAAACUUGUAAACAUAAAAUUUGUUAGGUUAAAUUUUGCUAUUAGUCCUUGUACUUUAAAAAAGUUACAGAUUUGGUCCUUUUACUUUAAUUUGAUCAAUUUUAAUCCAUAUUUUUUGAUUUAGUCAAUUUUAGACCUUAUACUUUUAGAAUUUUGAACUUUUAAUCUUCAUCCAAGUUGUAGUAGCUAAAUUCAUCCGAUUAAAUUCAAUUACUAUUCAUGUACUAUGCGUACAAUUGUAGAUUUAGCCCAUAUUUUCUAAUUGGAUCAUUCUGAGUCCUUAUACUUUUCAAAUUUUGAAAUUUCAAUUAUAAUGCAAAAUACUGUCGUUAAUCCAUUAACUAAAUUUUUAGUGAUUAAUAUGUAGAAAUAACAAGUUGACAUGACAUUACAUAUAAUAAUAUGUUUCUCAUAAGAUUUUGGAAAUAGCAAAAUUUACGUGAAUGGAUUUAAAUUACAAUUGCGGUUGCGUUUUCAAUUGCAUUUAUCGUGGUUGCACACAUAAUGGAUGCUAUUGCGAUCAUUGCGGUCUUGAAUUUUUUUUUUAAAUCAAAAACUUAUUAUAAAACAUAAUAAUUAUAAUUAUAAAAAGUCACUUUUAAUUAUUUUUAGAGUGUUUUCUAACACUUAUGAACUUUUAUUAAUAUGAUAACACAAUUUUUACAAUCAUUAAUUAUUCUUAUAUUUAUUUAAGAAUUUUUUAAGAAUAUUAUAUUAACUAAUAAAAAAGUAAAAAAAAUAGGAAAUAUUAAACAUUCAUCAUAUUUAAUAAGUUUGAAAGUUUUUAUAGAUAAAAUAAUUAAAAAUUCAUACAUGAGAGAGGUCUUCAAUAUUUCUUCACAGCUUUAAAAAUGGUAAAGAUAUCAAACCAUUCUAUGUUACAAAAGGAAAAAAAAGGAAUAGAUAAAUGUAUAGAUUCUCAUUCUUAUUAUUUAUUCUCACUCUCAUUCAACUUUCAUAUAUAGUUUAACAUGCUUCCAUUCUUAAUUAUCUUUUCAUAAAAUAUACUCCAUUCAUUUAUCUAUAGAUGUAUUUUAAAUGUUUUAAUAUCAUUAAAAUUAAAAACAUUAACAAAAGUUUUCUUUAAAAAAAAACAUACCUUACAAAUAGCGGUAGUGAUACAAUUUAAUUUUCACCAAUUAAUAGAAUAACAAGGAUGAUUAGAUCCUUCACCUUCACUUUGAGAGCGUUCUUGACUUUAUUCUCGUGUCCUUUGUCCAAAAAUAUAUCCAAAAAAAAAACAUUGUCACCUUGGUUUUCAUAUAAUUGAUAUUUAGAAUAUAUUUGAGGAGGGAGAUGCAUGAAAGGUGGAGGUGGAUGAUACAUUGGUGCUGGAGGAUGCAUGUGAGGCUGAUAUGGCACACCAUAAUUAGGAAAUAGUAGAUAAUAACCAUAUGGUUGUGAAUAACCAGGUGGAUGUUAAAAAUAUGAAGGUUUGUCCGGUGGAUAAAAACAUUGUGUGCUAGUGUCAUGGGUUGCGCAUACUCUAAGUCCAUGACACUAGUAGAUGAAUCACUAUACCCAAGGUUACUAGAACUCGAUCUCCUACCAAAUGAAUAGCCUAUAGAAGUAUGCUUCUUACCUUUUCUUUUAAUGGAGCUCUAGGUUUACUUCUAUCUCUCCUAGGUUCAGGAAAUAUAUUUCUAUUAAAUUUUGAUAUAUCACAGAAAUGUCCACUAAUGGUACUAACCCCAUAUUCUCCUCCAUACCGACUAGAAGACCUAAUUUCACCUCUAUGUCCAUGAUCAUCAUCAAUUGGACUUAAACCACCACCAUCAGGUCCAUCACCACUCUGACUUGGCAUUGCACUAGAACUUGAAUGAGACAAUUUUGUUAUUGAGCUUUAUUAACAUUUAUUUUAUCAUCAGAGGUAUCCACAUGCAACACACCAACAUUUUCACCAUCUAACAAUGAAUUCUCUUUCUCUUAAAGUCAUUCUGAUAGUGGAUCAACAUCUUCAAAGAUAUGAUCAAGGCUAAUAGGAUUAAAACUAGCAUUUAUAUCAUCAAUGCUCAUUCUUUUUUUAUGCCUUAUCUGAAGCUUCAUAUUAUAGUAGGUAAACACUAGUUUAUCAAAUUUUUUAUACUUCAACUCAUUUCUUGCCUUGAUGUGAAUAUAACUAAAUGUGUUCUAAUUUUGUUCGCAGUUUGAUGCAAAAGUUGUUUAACUAAGCACUUUAAUUGCUAAUAUUUAUAACUCAAGAACACAUGUCAUAUAUUAUCCACCACUCAGCUGCAUAAUAUUAUUUAAAUUUCAAAAUAACUUCAAAAUGUACAAUAUAAUUAAAUAAUUUAAUUAACUACUUACCCAGAUUCAUAUGCUUCCAAGCUCCUUGUGCUUGUGAAGUACCAAAUGUCUCAUAUUUAUCUUUAAAUAGUAACAACUAAAUAAAUAAAAAGAUAGUAAAAAUAAAAAAAAUAAUUCCAUUUCAAAUUAUGUAACUAAGUUAUAAAUAAUAGUACUUGAAUAUAACUUGAUUAACCAUUCUAACUUGAGUAUCAAAAGAAAGUUCUAAUCUUUCAAUUAUUGAUGUUGUACCUUCUAAUGUUUCUAUUACUACGUUCUAAGAAUGUUCCACCCCAAAUUGAAAUUGAGGAUUGAGAAAAUAACCUAAGCAUACUUUAUAAGAAUAUCAUCAAAUAAUAAUAAUCUAAAGCUUAAAAUAAUAAAAUAUAAAAAUAGUUCUUAAUUAUAUAAAACAUUUUAUCUUACCAGCUGAAUGCAAGUCAGAAUGCAUAAAAUUUCAUCUAUUGUCAGUAAUCUGUUCGUACUCGGUGAAAUAUCGACAAUCUUGUCGAAUUGCUCGUUUAGCUCUAUCAACAGCCUCAAAAAUAAAGUCUAUUGUUGGUUUUUCAUCACCAUCCACAAGUUUCAAUAAUUUUACUAGGGGCUCGUAAACUUUAAAAAAGAGCCACUGAUCUUUUUAAAAUCAUUAAAGGUUGUUAUAUUUAAGUAAUUAUAUUAACUAAUUAUAAAAUAUUUACAUUUAAAUUAAACAUUUCUCUCAUAUCUUACUUUUGUCUUGUUAUCUCUUCAAGUUAAUGAAAUGAUUUGCAAAUCGAGUAAGAGCAGGUCGAAGUAUUUAUUUCCCUUGUGAAUACUUCAUCAAAUCAAUAGUCCAAUUGUGAUUGUAUAUAACGCAAGUCACUUUCUUAGCCUCAUCUAACACUUUUUCUACGAUGAGUUUUUUCCCAAUAUCUUCAAGGAAUAAAUCUAAACAGUGAGUUACACAUGAGGUCCAAUAUAAAUGCUUUCUUUUCAACAUUAAUUUUUUCCAACAGCUUUCUCAAAUUUCUUCUACAACUAAAUAUAACAAACUGUAGUAGAAUUUAGCAUCUCUAUUAUGAACACUCGAGACAUCCACAGAUUUCUAAAAAACGGUUCCUUUACUGCAAUAAACAAGGAAACUAAUUAUGUGCAUUUGAUUCAAAUUGUUGGUCCAACCAUCACACAGUAGAGUUGCAUUCAAUUCUUUCCAUUGAGUCUUUAGUUCAUUUACCCAAUCACGAACUCAUUGACACUCUGACUUCAAAUACACAUUUAAAACCUCAUAAGGUGUUGAGAGCUUUACACCUUAUCCAACUUCUAUUGACACUUGAAUUAAGUUAUACAAUUAUGGAAAAGUUGCUAAUUGAAAAAACAUUCAUAUAUUAAAAAUUUAGAUAUCGUUUCACUUAUCUCCCUGCGUAAAGUCUUUAAAAAAAAGCCAUUAAUCUUUAGUUAUUUUGAGCUUUUGCUUUUAGCCAAUUCAAGUAUAACUCCCCUUAAGGUAAACUUAGACUCACUUAAGAUGGAUUUACUUAUUCUUUCUCUAUGAUAUUCUCCAAGUGAUCCAUGAGAAGAUUACUAUUCUUCAUAAAUGUUACUCCAAUCAUUAGUACUUCGUCUAAAAUUUUUCCUUCUAUACCACUCGUGUUGUGACAGGACACUUUUAAAUCGAUUAUCGACUUAUCGGUACAAGAAAUUUGUUCAAAAAAAGAAAAAACAAUCCAAACUCUAAACUUUCACACUCAAAUUUCACUAUCCAAACUCCAAACCAAACAAAAUCACAACACAAUUACAAAAUUCUCUAAAUAAAAUCUUUCAUAAAUUCAUAACUUUUAAGUACAUGAAUUUUUUUUUGUCUUAAUUCUUGCUUCUUUUUGUUGUAACAUGCAAAGAUUGACGAGAAAUUUUUGACAAAAUCUUUACAAAUCAUUUUUAUAUUUUCGGGUAUUUUGGUAGUAAUCAAUGGUAGCCUAUGUAAAGUUUAAAGAAAUUGGAAAAAAAAAUGGAGAAUGAACGGAUCUUGUAAAGAAAAGCAAAGAAAACUUAAACCUUAAUUUUUUUUUCUCUUUCAUUUUUUACUCUCUGCCUCACGAUAGAAGAAGAGGAAGGAGGUUGAGGCCUGGGGGAACUUGGGAAACUUUUUGUUUUAAUUUUUAAUUUUUGGGUUUUGAGUGACCCGGCAAUAAUGGGUUGUGGUGGGUUAUUUUUAAAAAAUAAAUUAUAGAUAUACAAUAAAUUUAUUUUUUCAAUGUUAGUGAUGAUAAGUUAUAAAAGUAACAUAUUUUAAUUUUAUUCUUAAUGAGUUUUUAGAUGAUUAUUUAUGCAAAUUGAUAAUUUCUAAUCCUUUAAAUUCAUGUUUCUAUACUUAUUAGAACAUUUGGUAGCAAAAGGAGCGAAAAAAAUAUAGCAAAAAUCAGACAAGUAGAGCAAAUUUCAAGAGCCACACGGGCUAGGCCUUCCCACACGGGUUGGACACACGGCCAUGUGAGCCACAUAGGAUGGACACACAGUCAUGUGCCAGACCGUGUUGAUUUCUUGACUCGUAUCCCAAACACGCGAAAAAACGCAAUUUUUGGGCUUUCUAGUCAUUCGAAAGUCUAUAAAUAUCAAAUAGAAGAAAAGAAUAUGAGACAUCAGAGAAUAUUGAAGAAAACAACUCGAAGAACACCACUGAAACCAACUCUAAAGCAGAUUUUCAUCAAGAUUGAAGGCCUCCUUUUAAUUUCUUUAAAAUUUUUAUGAUUUUCUUUAAUUCUUGUGGUUAUAUUGAUUUUGAGAUAAUUUUAUUUACAAUUAUGAAUUAAUUUCCUAGAUACCUAAGAAUGAUAAACUCUAUGAUGAAAUCUAUUAUUUGAUUUAUGUUUUAUGUGAUAAAUAUUUUAUUCUUAUUCUCAGUAAUGUGUGCUUAACUAUUAUUUUAAUGUUUCUAGGAUAUUAAUUCAUAUUUAUUAUGCUUAAACCAGAGGAGAAAAAUCCUUAUUUAAGAGUAGAUCUAACAUAAUUAAGUGGAGUUGCAUGCAAUCCUAAAAAUAGAAUGACAUAAAUCUAUCGAAAUAGAGUCAAAUCUAAUAAAGGAAGAGUUAAUGUGAUAAUAAGGAUUUUAAUUAAAAAGAAAUUUCAAUUAAUUAACCUAGAGUCAACUGUUCUUACUUAAGAAAGAGAUAAUAGCAAAAUUUAAGGAUUUUGCGGAUCAAGAUAUCAAGUGAAUAAAUCAUUUAAUUCAAAUUCAUAAUGAUAGAUUAAAUCUAAGUGAAUUCUUUCUUGGGUAUUAUUUUACUUCUUGGUUAUUAUUCAAUUAUUUUCCUAAUUUAUUCUCUCCUGAGUUCUUUGGUUAAUUAAUUUAGUAUAUUUAGCUUCAAUCAAUCAUAUCAAAUUAUCAAUUAAAUAAUAGGAAAAUGGUUAUUACUAGUACUUUUAGUGCUCGUGGAUACGAUACCUCUACUCAACGUUGCUAUACUACUUAUCGACAGGCGCACUCGUCUUUGUCAUAUUUUUAGUUAGUUUCGUGAUUUUUUUUUGUAUUAUAUUGUUGAUAAUAUAAGUAACGAAUUACUUAUAUUUCUAAAUAUAAUUUUAUAUUUCUUGUAUAUAAAUAAAAAUAAAGCAUGUCACCACUUGAAGAAUUCCCAACUAAAGGAUUGGAGGGUGCACCAAGUAAUGAUAUAGGUUAACACUUUGGAACUCUAGUGUCAUAUAUGAAAGGAAAUGUCGUAUGAAAACUUUGUAAUAAAGUUGUGAAAGAAGAAAUAACACGAUUUAAAGAGCACAUUGCUCAUAAAACCGGUAAUUUUGCACCAAGCCCUAAUUUAUUGGUAUGUAAUACUUUAUUAUUAUUUUUUAAAUAUUAUCGUAAAUUUAUCAAUAAAGAUUAUACAUAAUUGAUAAUAAUAUAAAAAGUAAAUUAUUUUUAUUUUAUUAACAGGUGUCCGUAGAGAAAGUAUGACGAAUAUACUGAAAGAAAGCAACACAAAGAAAAUAGACAAAAAGAGAACAAAUGAAUUCUUAUCCCAAUUAAAAGGAGGGAAGGAUAAACACGAGGGAUUCAUUGAUGAUGUUUCUGUUAGGCAAGCAACUCGAGAAAAUAUCUAAUCACAACACGAGUGGCAUAGAAGGAAGAAUUCAGACGAAGUACUAGUAGUUGGAGUAACAUUUAUGAAGAAGAGUGAUCUUCUCAUGGAUCAAUUAAAGAAUAUUAUGGAGAAAGAACAAAUAAAUUCAUCCAAAGUGAGUCUAAGUUUACCUUCAGGGAGCUAUACUUGAUUGGCUAGAAGCAAAAGCUCAAAACAACCAAAGAUAACUGGCUCUUUUUUAAAGACAUUACGCAGAAAGAUAGGUGAAGUAAUAUCUAAAUUUUUAAUAUAUGAACGACUUCCUUUUCAAUUAGCAAGCUCUCCAUGGUUGUAUAACUUAUUUCAAAUGUCAAAAGAAGUUGGACAAUGUGUAAAACUUCCAACACCUUAUGAGGUUUCAGAUGUGUAAUUGAAGUUAGAAUAUCAACAAAUUCGUGAUUGCGUAAAUGAACUAAAGACUCAUUGAAAUGAAUUGGGUGUAACUCUAACGUGUGAUAGUUGAACCAACAAUUUGAAUUAAAUGCACAUUAUUAAUUUCCUUGUUUAUUGUAAAUGAAUCGUUUUUUGAAAAUCUGUAGAUGUCUCGAGUGUUUAUAAUAGAGAUAUUGAAUUCUACUACAUUUUGUUAGAUUCAAUUGUAGAAGAAAUUGAAAAAAGUUACACUGUCCAAAUAGUGACUGAUGAGGCAACAAUAAAAGCCACUGGAAAAAAUUAAUGUUGAAAGAAAAUAUUUAUAUUGGACCUCAUGUACAACUCACUAUUUAGAUUUAUACUUUGAAGAUAUUAGGAAAAAGUCAAGUGUAGCAAAAGUGUUAGAUGAGGCUAAGAAAGUAACUUACUUUAUAUACAAUCACAUUUGAACUAUUGAUUUGAUGAAGAAGUAUACAUAAGGGAAGCAAAUACUUCAACCCUCUCUUACUCGAUUCGCAACUCAUUUCAUUAAACUUGAAAAGAUAAUAAGACAAAAAACAAGAUCUGAAAGAAAUAUUUAAUUCAAAGGUCAAUAUUUUAUAAUUACUUAAUAUAAUUACUUCAAUAUAACAACCUUUAAUUAUUUUAUUAAUUUCAAAUAAUUUAAAUUAUAUUAUUUUAAAAUUUUUCUUAUAAAUAUAUAGGAAUUUAAAUAACCAAAAUGGGGACGAUAAAAGUUAGGGCCUACUUAUGAAGCCAAAACAAUUGUUUUUUAAAAAAAAAUUAGAAAAAAGCCAAUGACCUAAUAAAAAUUUACGAGCCCCUAGUAAAAGUAUUGAGACUUGUGGAUAGUGAUGAAAAACUAACAAUGGGUUUUAUUUAUAAAAUUUUUGAUAAAACUAAAUGAGCAAUUCAACAAGAUUGUCCAUAUUUCACCGAGUACGAAAAGAUCAUUAACAUUAGAUGAAAUUUUAUGCUUUCUAACUUGCAUUCAGGUGGUAAGAUAAAAUAUUUCAUAUAAUUAAGAACUAUUUUUAUAUUUGAUUAUUUUAAGCUUUAGAUUAUUAUUUAAUAAUAUUCUUAUAAAUUUUACUUAGGUUAUUUUCUUGAUCGUCAAUUUCAAUUUGGGGUGGAGCAUUCUUAGGACGUACUAGUUGAAAUAUUAGAAGGUACAAGAUAAAUAAUUGAAAGAUUAGAACAUUCUCUUAAUACUCAAGUCAGAAUGAUUAAUCAAGUUAGAUUCAAAUAUUAUUAUUUGUAACUUAGUUACAUAAUUUGAAAUGAAAUUAUUUUUUUUCAUUUUUACUCUAUCUUUUUAUUUAUGCAAUUGUUACUAUUUAAAAAUAAACAUGAGAGAUUCGAUACUUCACAAGCACAAAGAGCUUAGAAGCAAAUGAAUCCAGAUAAAUAGUUAAUUAAAUUGUUUAAUUUAAUUUAAUUUUUAUUAUUUAAUUAUAUUGUACAUUUUGAAGUUAUUUUGAAAUUUAAAUAAUAUUAUGCAGCUAAGUGGUGGAUAAUAUAUGGCACAUGUAUUCCUGAGUUACAAAGAUUAACAAUUAAAGUACUUGGUCAAACAACUUCUGCAUCAAAUUGUGAACGAAAUUGCAACUCAUUAAGUUAUAUUCACACCAAGGCAAGAAAUAGGUUCAAUUAUAAAAAACUUGAGAAACUAGUGUUUACCUACUAUAAUAUAAGGCUUCAGAUAAAGCAUCAAAAAAAAAUGAGCAUUGAUGAUAUAAACACUAGUUUUAAUCCUAUCAGCCUUUAUCAUAUCUUUGUAGAUGUUGAUCGACUAAUCAGAUUUACUUCAAGAGAAAAAGAAUCUAUUGUUAGAUGGUGAAAAUGUCGGUGUGUUGCAUGUGGAUAACUCUAAUGGUGAAAUAAAUAUUGAUCAAUUUUAACAACAAAAGUCUCAUUCAAGUUCUAGUGCAACGCUAAGUUAGAGUGGCGAUAAACAUAAUGGUGAUGGUUUAAGACCAAUAGGUGACGAUGAUGGACAUAGUGGUAAUAGAGGUGAAAUUAGGUCUUCUAGUCAAUAUAGAGGACAAUGUGAAAUUGGUACCAGUAGUGGAUAUUUCCAUGAUAGUUCAGAAUUUGAUAGAAAUAUUUUUCCUGAACCUAGGAGAGAUAAAAGUGAACUUAGAGCUCCAUCAAAAUGAAAAGGCAAGAAGCAUACUUCUGUAUGCUUUUCAUCACGUAGGAGAUCGAGUUCUAAUAACAUUAGAUAUAGUGAUUCAUCCACUAGCACUCAAGGUUUUUAUCCACCUGAACAACCUUCAUAUUUUCAACUUUCACAUGGUUAUCCAUAACCAUAUGGUUAUUAUCCACCAUUUCCUAAUUAUGAUGUGUCAUUUCAGCUUCAAAUGCAUCAUCCACCACCAAUGUAUCAUUCUCCUCAAAUAUAUCCUCCAUAUCAAUUAUAUGAAAACCAAGUUAAAAAUCUUACAUUUUUUAUAUAUAUUUUUGGACAAAGGUCAUGAGAACCAAGUCAAAAACGCUUUGAAAGUGAAGGUGAAGAAUUUAAUCCUCCUCGUCAUUCCACUAAUUAGUGAAAACUAAAUUGUACCACUACCACUAUUUGUAAGGUAUUUUUUUUAAAGAAUAUUUUUGUUAAUGUUUUUAAUUUUAAUGAUAUUAAAACAUUUAAAAUACAUUUAUAGAUAAAUGAAUAAAGUAUAAAACAAUAAUUAAGAAUUGAAACAUGUUAAACUAUAUAUGAAAGUAGAAUGAGAGCGAGAAUAAGUGGUAGGAAAUAGGAAUAAUUAAUGAGAAUCUAUACAUUUAUAACGACCUAUUUUUUGCAGUAACAAUUUUGGACGACACUGCUACUGCUAUAUAACGGCCGCUAUUUCGCUACCCAACAAUUAUUUAAAUCCCUGAAUUUAACAAUUAUUGUCUAGUGAGGAUUAAAAUUUUAAAAAUUGAAAAGUACAAGGGUUAAAAAUGAACAAAGAUUAAAUCCACAACUUUCAAAAAGUACAGAGAGUAAUGACAAAAUUUACCAAUUUGUUAAUACUAUACUUAAGCUUGACCUGACCCGUUUCGAUCCAUAAACACUUUUAAUCCUAACCCAACUUUUUUUUAAGGAUUUAAUCCAUUUAAUUUUAAACUUAAGAUAAAAAUUUCCUAACUCUAUCCACAAAUAUUUUAAUAAAACUAUACUACUAUAUAUAAAAAGUCCAUCCUUCUUUGACACCCUGUCCUUUACUUUUCUUUUACAUUACUAAUAAUAAUGGUUAAAUUUCUAUUGAGGCCCCUCUACUUUUUAAUUAUACAAAAAUGGUCAAAUUUUUAUUUCAAUCCUUAUAACAUGCUUAAAUUUAAUAUUUGAUUUUUAUACUUUAAUUUCAUACAUAGUUUGCUACCUCAAAGUUUAUAAUGUUAUUAGUUAGACUAAAUAUUUUAUUUUAAAUUAAAAUAUUAAAGUAAAUUUAAAGAAUUGUUAACGUCAUUUUUUUUUGUUAUAUUUAGUCCUAUUACAAUGCCAUUUUUCUGACAUGAUCAUGGAAUGAAUACUUUUUUAAAAUUUAGAAUGUCACACCAAUAAGAUUUGAAAAAAUAAAAGGACUAAAUUCUUAAAAAUAAAAAUAUAAAAAUUAGAUUCUAAAAAUAUAGAGAGUAGAUUAUAACCUUUAACUUUUAACUAUUUAAUCUAAAAAUAAUUAAGCAUGAAAUGAACCAUACGAAUUAAAAAUAAAAGGUAAGAUUUGGUGAAACAAUCCCACGAGAUAAAGACAGAAAUAAUUGUCUUUUCCUAAGUCAUUACACCACAUAUAAUUUAGAGAUGCAAACAAGAACCAGAAGAAUUAAAAGGUUGUGUUUGGUAGUAAUUAUUUAGUAAACAAAAUAUUAGAAAUUUAACUUUAAGUUAUGGUUUAUUAGUGGAAUGUUCAUUUUCUUUAAAAAUAGUUUGAGCUUCAAUUACGAUAGUAGAAAAAACAUUAAAAAUUGGGGAAAGAAUAAUUAAUUAUUUUCUUUCAGGACUUAUAUUUUUUUUUUUUCAAAUCUUGUUAUAUAAAUAUUAUUCAAUGAAAUAUUGCUUACUCUCACAAAACAAUUCUUUGUUUAUCUUUGAGAUUAUAAUUAGUCUUGAUUUAUGCUUUGUAUUUAUAUUGGAUAAUUUUACUAUUUAAAAAUAUUUGAAUAAUUUAAAAAUAUAGUUAUUAAUUGAAAUGUAGAUAUUAGAUCAGUUAAAGACUUUAGGUUAUAAUGAUGUACGACGGUCCGUUUCAUAAAAUAUUAAUUUUAACCGAAAUGGAUAUGCAGGGUUUAUCCUCCCACAAAGAAAAGCAUGUUCAGGGGUUAUCAUUUGAAACGAGAUGGGCCAAACUUUGGUAGCUUGCAGUAGACUUACCAGUUGGGUUCCAUCGGCGUUUGCCGCCGAAGCUCUAGCUGUAAUUCAUGGCCUUCGCUUUGCACUCGAUCUUGACUUCCAAUCUGUGAUUUUAGAAGGGGGCUCAAGGUCGGUCAUCCAAAAAAUAGUGGAUAAUGGGAAGGAUUUAUCGGAAAUAAGCGCGCUUACCUGGGAAGCAAAGGAACUCGCGAAAUCUUUUCGGUUUUGCAGGUUCCAUUUUGUAGAUCGAUCCGGAAACAAGGCAGCGCAUGCAAUGACGCGGGACGGGCUGAGGAGAGACGAGGAUAGAUUCUGGGUGGAGGAGGUUCCCGAUUUGGCUACUGUGACUGUCGAUGAUGAUUACAGAUCUGUAGACCCUCCGUAGGUGUGCUAUUCAGGGUUGGUUUUGAGGGGAUUCAUUUUCACUUUUGGCCCUCGUAUGUCUUUGUUGCUCCCUUGGGUCUUCUUUGUUUGGUUAAAUGGUAGUGAAGGGAGCAUCGAUGGUCGGAAUUUCUGUAAAUUUUGUUUAGUCUUGUUUGGUGUGGGUUCUGUUUCUUUUUUGUUUGUGUGUUGGUUUUGUUUUGGUCAGGUUGUUUUGGGUGAGUCUGUUUAUCUGACGUCUUAAUUGUUUUUUGGGUUUUGUUUUGACGGUUUAAUUUUCCAAUAAGAGUGACCGGUAUUUAUUCAAAAAAAUGUAUAAAGAUAAUUAAUUUUAAAUUAUAUAAACGAAUCGACCUCCUAUGUUUUAUACAAUUAUAUUAUUAUAUAAUCCUGAUAUGUUUCAAAAGAAUCCUAUGAUAAAUAUUUAAAAAAUAAUUGUUA
rnacentral:lncRNA from 1 species